GACGAACGCUGGCGGCGUGCUUAACACAUGCAAGUCGAACGGAAAGGCCCUGCUUUUGUGGGGUGCUCGAGUGGCGAACGGGUGAGUAACACGUGAGUAACCUGCCCUUGACUUUGGGAUAACUUCAGGAAACUGGGGCUAAUACCGGAUAGGAGCUCCUGCUGCAUGGUGGGGGUUGGAAAGUUUCGGCGGUUGGGGAUGGACUCGCGGCUUAUCAGCUUGUUGGUGGGGUAGUGGCUUACCAAGGCUUUGACGGGUAGCCGGCCUGAGAGGGUGACCGGCCACAGUGGGACUGAGAUACGGCCCAGACUCCUACGGGAGGCAGCAGUGGGGAAUAUUGCACAAUGGGCGGAAGCCUGAUGCAGCAACGCCGCGUGAGUGAUGAAGGCCUUAGGGUUGUAAAGCUCUUUUACCCGGGAUGAUAAUGACAGUACCGGGAGAAUAAGCUCCGGCUAACUCCGUG
rnacentral:rRNA from 1 species